CCUACGGGUGGCUGCAGUCGAGAAUCUUUCACAAUGGGGGCAACCCUGAUGGAGCGACGCCGCGUGGAGGAUAAGGUCUUCGGAUUGUAAACUCCUGUCAUGCGAGAACAAGGUUGCAGGGCUAACACCUUUGCAAAUUGAUGGUACCGCAAGCGGAAGAGACGGCUAACUCUGUGCCAGCAGCCGCGGUAAUACAGAGGUCUCAAGCGUUGUUCGGAAUCACGGGUAGGAGACGGGGCAUAGCAGGCGUGAAAGCCCGGGGCGCAACCUCGGAAUUGCAUCCGAUACUGCCAUGCUGGAGUACUGAAGAGGUGACUAGAAUUCUAGGUGUAGCAGUGAAAUGCGUAGAUAUCUAGAGGAAUACCAACGGCGAAGGCAGGUCACUGGGCAGUUACUGACACUGAGGCACGAAGGCCAGGGGAGCAAACGGGAUUAGAUACCCGGGUAGUC
rnacentral:rRNA from 1 species